GCCGAAGCGAGUCGAACGGGAUUCCAUUCCUGUUUCGGCUUUUUCCGGCGACUGUCGAAGUGGAUAAGCUCGACGACGACGGCUCCUUCGGCUCAUUCCGGAGACGGCCAUUACUAACGGAGUUGAUGACUUUUUAUUACGUGAUAAAAUCACGCAGGGGCGUUAUACAGAAUUGUUGCCCGUUUGGAGAUAUUUAAGCUCCGGCUCCAAGCUUUUUUUGUUUUUUUUUUUAAACGAAAACCUGGGAAGGGAGUCUGGCUUGGAGAAGGAGGGCGCUAGCACUACGUGGAGCUGAAUUUCAAAUUGCGUAACAGUUAAGGCAGCCAUUACUGACCAGUUGUACGCUACUCUCGAGCAGGAAUAGGUAAACCAUGAAGAACAUGAGGGAAAAGGAACAGUUCCGCAAACUGUUUAUUGGCGGCUUAAGUUUUGAAACAACAGAGGAAAGCUUGAGGAGUUACUAUGAGCAAUGGGGAAAACUUACAGAUUGUGUGGUAAUGAGGGAUCCUGCAAGCAAAAGAUCAAGGGGGUUUGGCUUUGUAACAUUCUCUUCCAUGGCUGAAGUUGAUGCAGCCAUGGCUGCAAGACCUCACACGAUUGACGGAAGGGUGGUUGAGCCUAAGAGAGCUGUGGCUAGAGAGGAAUCUGGAAAACCUGGUGCUCACGUUACUGUGAAAAAACUGUUUGUUGGUGGUAUUAAAGAGGACACUGAAGAGCACCACCUUCGAGACUACUUCGAGGAAUAUGGAAAAAUCGACACUAUUGAAAUCAUUACUGACAGACAGUCUGGUAAAAAGAGAGGGUUUGGAUUUGUUACAUUUGAUGACCAUGAUCCUGUGGAUAAAAUCGUAUUGCAGAAGUAUCACACCAUCAAUGGCCAUAAUGCAGAAGUAAGGAAAGCUCUCUCUAGACAGGAAAUGCAGGAAGUUCAAAAUUCCAGAAGUGGGAGAGGAGGGAACUUCGGUUUCGGUGAUGCACGUGGAGGUGGUGGCAAUUUUGGUCCAGGACCUGGCAGCAAUUUCAGAGGAGGAGCUGGUAAGACAGAUGGGUAUGGAAGUGGCCGCGGAUUUGGUGAUGGCUAUAACGGAUAUGGUGGAGGACCUGGAGGUGGCAACUUUGGUGGCAGUCCUGGUUAUGGAGGAGGAAGAGGAGGAUAUGGUGGAGGAGGACCUGGCUAUGGCAACCAGGGUGGCGGUUAUGGAGGUGGUUAUGACAACUAUGGAGGAGGCAACUAUGGAAGUGGAAACUAUAACGAUUUUGGAAACUAUAACCAACAACCUUCAAAUUAUGGUCCAAUGAAGAGUGGAAAUUUUGGUGGCAGCAGAAACAUGGGUGGACCAUAUGGUGGAGGAAACUAUGGUCCAGGAGGCAGUGGAGGAAGUGGUGGAUAUGGAGGGAGGAGCCGUUACUGAGUUUCUGCAAGCAUGCCAUGGCUAUGAUAUGAACCCUGGACAAGCAUAGACUGCUGCCACUGUACACUGCUACAGUUGAACAAAUGAGACCUGCAAGUGUCCAUUAGUAAAGCUUUGCAAGGGUUCCAUCCUUGGUGUUGGUAGUUAAAAUGGAAGGUGCCAUGCUGCAGGUAACUAAUGAAGAAGUGGUCAACCACAGAAACGCUUCAAGAAAUAAGAAAUUCUGUAUCAUCAGAAAAUAGUUGUUUUUGCUGCCUUCAUUAAAAAUCUAGAGGUUAAAUGAAUACUGAUAAAACAUCAGAAUUAGUACAGCUCCCUGUAAUUCUGGGUUUUUAAAAUUAUAGUAAUGUCUUGUAAACCUUUCGAAUAAAAUUCAAAUUCAUUAGGAGAAACAAAUCACUAAUGUUAAAAUAGCAAACACUCUGUGAGUAGAAAGUUUAACUACAUAUUUUUAUAACUUUCAUAGCUUUAAAAUAAAGUAUUUUUUAUACCAACGUAGUUCUAGUGUAAUGCUUAAUAAAAUAAAACCUAGUGUGUGUCUAACAUUAAAUAAUGUUUAUGUGCAGCUUUUAGACCCUUUCAUGAUUUGAAACGUUCCAUUUUGAGGUGGAUUUAAAACAAAGUCAACUUGGCAAGUGUAUUCACAGAACUUGUAUCUCUGACUGUAGGCAUCUGUUCUCUGCUGGGAGAAACAGUGCUACAAGUUCAAAAUGCUGAUGUCUUUGCUGUUGGACACAAUUGCUUUAAAAUAGCUUUUUGGCUGUGUUUUAUAUCACUUUAUAAAAAUAUCUCCUUUCCUGUUAAUUAAACUAGCACUUAAGACAGACUGUCAAAAUGUGAUAGGAAAAUAGCUUUAUCCUUUUCACCGGUAAAGAGCUUCUAGCAUCAAGAGAGAAAGACUGAAUGAAAUUAGAGUUCCUGCUGUACCAGAACUGUAUUACUGAUAGCGUAAUCUUCGGGGGUGGGGAAACAACACCCACAAAAAACAAACUUGGAAGUGUGAGCUUGGCAAAGCUUCAGUGGGGAAUGUAUUUGAGGGAACGUAUCUUCAGUCUGUACUGUUCUAAUGUAUUUAGCCUUCUUUAUAUUCAAAAAUAUUAUUUAAGGAUUCACAUAUGAUUUUUUUUCCUGUGUUUCUUAAGUUCAACUUUGAAAUAUUUGCAUAGGUAACCGGUGGGCUGCAACGGAAGCAGAAAAUGAAGACGCACAAAAUCUGCUUUACUUUCUUCUUUCCAACAGAAUGAGUUGGCCGGUUGAUAAGGAAUUUGCUGUCUUUCCUGGAACUUAGAGAUUUAGUUAAUGGAUGUUUUUCUUUGCAGUUGCCAAGACUACAUUCAUAUGAUAUAAAAAAGCCUCACUUCAAUGAGGAGUAAUUUUCUUUCUGUUUGAGAUACUUACACUCUUUUAUUAGUUCUGCAACAAGGCUUUAAAUUUAUUUAAGUGUAUUUUCCAUAAUAAGGAUGUUUUAAUUUUGAUCUACUCGCCAUGGGGGAAGGGUGUGUAUAGAGGCCAGCAGUAUGCAAAAACUAAGUUAUUGGAUAUUUGAAGUCUUGAAGUUUUCAGUAUUUGAGUAAGUUUUCUGUUGUCUUGCUGUUGAACUUCCGUGACCUUUCUUGGUAUGUUCUUAAAACAACUGACAAUCACAACAUUUACUGAUUAAUUCAGUAAGAGAAGUCACUAUUUUGAGUCAACCUGAUACUGAAAGCUAGCAACUUUGAAUAAAAACAAACAGUGUGCGUGUGGUCAGUUACUGGUCCUCAAUUUGUAGAGAACGUAUACUUGUCCUCUAAUUUCUAAGAAGUUUGGUUUAUGUUGCUCUGCAGACUUUGUUCUUGAAGUAAGGGUAACAUUGCUGGUAAGCGUGUUUCUGUGUAUUAGGAACUGAGGAUAAGGUUGGUACUAAGCCCAGCUCGCUCCCAGUAAACAGGGAAGAAUGUGAAAGACAACCUACUGGUAACUGGUAUGGGAGAAAAAAAUAACCCACAGUGUAUGACUUGCAUUUAUAAAAAGGUGGUGAAAAAAGGUCAAUAAUAGGGUUCUGACUACUCAGACUUCAUGUUCUAUUUCUUAGAUUAAAGGUGGAUUUUAUUCACUUCCAUUACGUGUACUUCAGAUGCCAAGAAGUGUUCAGGAAAAUGUGAGAAGUUGCUCUUAUGAUUGCAAAAUUAGCAGGAAUUGAACUUUGUCUUGUGUGGGGAAGACUGCAUUCUUUUAAUUUUUAUUAUAAAUGUACAUAUGAUCUUGGGGUUGAAGUCAUAUUUUUGGGGAAGAAAAAAGUCCCAGAAAACAUAUAGGAAUUUUAAGAUGUCAGCUGAGUUUGUUUUGGCAACUUGAACGUAUUUGUGAAAGAGGAUGAUGUGCUGAGAACACACUGCAGCAAGAUGUUCCCUAUAGUCUCAGUGUUCCAAUUUGUUUUCAAAGCUGAGCGCAUGGUGGAAGCAGAAUCCUGUAGUAGUGCUGUCAAUUUUCUUUUCUCCUGAGAGAGAUGCUAGGUGUUUUCCUCUUUGGUGCAGUGGUACUGGUAGGAAUGCACAGGAGUGUAACGUGGAAGGGUGUUCCUGCGUAACGUUGAUCCAUUUUGCCAGAAGUCAUACCGUCUCUCUUAACAGUUGUGCUCUUGCUUUGCAGCUGGCAUUGAUUUGCAUUGCAGCAGAAGUUACUCCAGUUAAUGUCAGCAAGAAUGGGUUUAUUUAUCAACAGUAAAAAUAAAUUGUUGAUCUUUAAAUGGGUGUUUGACUUGCCCCAAAGGUGCUGUGAACCUACUAGGUCAACAGUGUUUGGGGACUGUGUAGUUUACAAACUUCUAUGACCUCCUGUGCUGCUUCACUCUGUGAACAGGGUGACUUUGUGGGCGAGUCCUAGAAAGUUGCUGUUCCCCCCCUAGAGUUCUCCCCAAUGUGGGACUUUCCACAGCCCACCCUUUGCUGCUGCUUUGGUCUCUUUUGUGGUCUGUUUUUGGGCAUACUUGUACAAAAAUCAAUGGCUAAUGCAUUUACUGGAGUUCUAGUAGCUGUGUAGCAGGUAACAAGUUGCAGUGCUUUUAUGAGGUAUGCUACAGUAAUGGUUGCAUGUGUCAUCUCCAUUUGGUUUAUUUAGUAAAUAAUAAAUUUUCUCUAGAACCCGG